UCUCUGGAGGACUAGUGGUUAGGCCACAAUGCUCUCAUCGCCAUGGCCCGGGUUCAAUUCCCGGCCACAGUU
rnacentral:tRNA from 1 species